AGCAGAGGAACGAGACCCGCAGCAGAGAGCCAGCACUACAGGGGACCAAGAGGGACAUCAGCAGAAACAAGACUCAGUGGCCCUCUCACGGAAUCCCACUCAGACCCACACUGAAUGGACACCCAUGGUACAAACUCCACUGGUUCCAACCACCACCACCACCAACAACAACAACUGGCAUCAAGUUCUCAACAGGAGAGUGUUGGAGAAACUGGAGAGGGACCCUCCGCAUCAGAGCAAAGGAGGUGAACUCUGUCCAAAAGGGGCCUCCACAGGACAAGCCACCGGUCAGCCGGUCAUUGGAGAUUUCAGUUCUCAGCAAAGCAGACAGCGGCAGCAGGCGAAGUGGCGAGCCCCACCAGCAGCGCAGAGGAGGCUGGCAGGACGGCCGUCCAGCAGCAGAGGCCGAGUGACUCACGUGCAGCUCCCAGGAGAAAGAGAAACCUUCUCAGGGUCGGCCUCUCAAAGCUAAGUGUGUCCCUGCAGCGUGUGAUCCGUCCCUCACUAGCAACAAAGAAUUGUGCUGUGAGAAAAACACACACACUUCGGUUUCCUAGGAACCUCACAAAAUAGCUGCAAGAUCCGGGGGGGAGCUGAAGGCAAGCGUGUGGCACGUGGGGCCCCCAGGCUGACAGCUGCCUCUCCAGCUAUA